rnacentral:rRNA from 1 species
CAGUCGCCGCGGUAAUACAGAGGGUGCAAGCGUUAAUCGGAUUUACUGGGCGUAAAGGGCGCGUAGGUGGUUAUGUAAGUGAGAUGUGAAAUCCCCGGGCUCAACCUGGGAACUGCAUCUUAUACUGCGUAGCUGGAGUGCAGUAGAGGGUAGUGGAAUUUCCGGUGUAGCGGUGAAAUGCGUAGAUAUCGGAAGGAACACCAGUGGCGAAGGCGGCUACCUGGACUGACACUGACACCGAGGCGCGAAAGCGUGGGGAGCAAACAGGAUUAGAUACCCGUGUAGUCCCUGUCUCUUAUAC